CAUAAUCUGAGGAUUAGAGAAAUGUGCUUGUAGGGCACACUGUGUAGUACCUGGCUCUUGGUUCUGUUUUCUAUAUCAUUGAAAUGGACUCCAAGCGUGUGCCUCGAGACAAGUUGGCCUGCAUCACCAAGUGCAGCAAGCACAUUUUCAAUGCCAUUAAGAUCACCACGAACAAGCUGGCGUCAGCGGAUGACUUCCUCCCCACCCUCAUCUACAUCAUUUUGAAGGGCAACCCCCCACGCCUUCAGUCUAAUAUCCAGUACAUCACACGCUUCUGCAAUCCAAGCUGACUGAUGACUGGAGAGGAUGGCUACUAUUUCACCAAUCUGAUUCCAAAAAGUGUAGAAGCCUCAGGUUCCUCCAAACCUGGACCUGCCCCAUCACUCAUCACUCUCCACCAUUGUGUUCAGCUACGUGUUACCCUAGUCACCAGCAUCUUGGGAGUGUGAUUUGCAGUGCUGUGCCAUGGCUUUCAUUGAGAAGUUAGAUGCCCAGUCUUUGAAUUUAAGUCAGGAGGAUUUUGAUCGCUACAUGUCUGGCCAGACCUCUCCCAGGAAGCAAGAAGCUGAGAGUUGGUCUCCUGAUGCUUGCUUAGACGUCAAGCAAAUGUAUAAGAACUUGGAUCUCCUGUCUCAGUUGAAUGAACGACAAGAAAGGAUCAUGAAUGAAGCCAAGAAACAGGAAGAAGAACUCAUAGAUCGGACAGAUGGAAUUACAAGAGAAGUUCAAGACAUUGUUGAGAAAUACCCGCUGGAAAUUAAGCCUCCGAAUCAACCGUUAGCAGCUAUUGACUCUGAAAACAUUGAAAAUGAUAAACUUCCUCCACCACUGCAACCUCAGGUUUAUGCAGGAUGAUCACAGUUUACAUGGAGAGUAUUUAUUUGAGCCUAAAUUGUAGGUAGCCCUUACUACACUCAACUGAUUGGGAUCUAGAAUGUAACUAAAUUGCUUAUAAAUGUCAGAGCAUUUUUAAAGGUACAGUAUAUGGGGAUUGUUUUGUUCUGUUUUUCCUAGCAGGGGAAACUUAGUUAAUAAUAAAAUACUAUUUAUUUGACUUACUGAUACAGAUUCAUUUAAGGCUUGUGUGCAAAUUUUGUCUCAAAUCUUUUUUCCCUCCAUGAUUUUCCUAUGUGCUUCCUCUGGGAUUCACUGUGGUUUGGUAAAUAAUUGCCUUUUAAAGGAUAAAACAAAUGAAUGCUA